GUGUACACCCUUUUGUGCGGAGGGCCUUUUGCUGAAGACCCUUUUUUGACAAUUUUUGGCAGGCCCAACGGAAUUGGGCCUU
rnacentral:snRNA from 15 species